UACAGAGGUCUCAAGCGUUGUUCGGAUUCAUUGGGCGUAAAGGGUGCGUAGGUGGCGCGCUAAGUCAGGUGUGAAAUUUCGGAGCUUAACUCCGAAACUGCAUUUGAUACUGGCGUGCUUGAGGACUGGAGAGGAGACUGGAAUUCAUGGUGUAGCAGUGAAAUGCGUAGAGAUCAUGAGGAAGACCAGUGGCGAAGGCGGGUCGUCUGGACAGUUCCUGACACUGAGGCACGAAGGCCAGGGGAGCAAACGGG
rnacentral:rRNA from 1 species